UUACCGCCUGGCGGGCGCUUCCUGAAUUCGGCUCCGGUGGCUGCCCGCGCGCCGGCGGGGUUGGAGAGUGAGGGGGCCGGGGUCCGGCGGCGGCCCCCUCUGUCUGGGGGAGGUCCGUUCUGCCCCCGCCCGCGGCGCUGGGAAGUGUGUGCUCCACCUGCCAGUUGGGCCCGAGGGGCGCGGAGCCGGCCCCGCGUGCAACCGCGUGCCCUCAGCCCCGCGAGCGCAGGGUCCGAAGUCUGGGGGCGCCGGCGCGCUGAGGGGAGCGAGACUCGACGCGCUUGCCCACGAAGGCCCAAGCCCCACCCUGAUGGCCCUCCAGCUGUUUCCAGAAGGCUCUCCCUGAAACACAAAUUGAACAGAAACAAUCCUGCCGGGAUUUUAACUGGGAUUACAUAUGCCUAUAAGGGUUUGGGGGAGCAGGGAGAGGAAUGUGUAUCUUCAUAGAGUUUGGACGGCCCAUCGAGAGGGACUGCCCCCAGGAGCGUCCAGUUGUGGGAAACACUGGCAGGAGACGGGAGUGAGAAGGACCCUGAGGCCUGGUUACUUGUUCCUGAGAUCAGCCCUGCUGGGUCACGGAGGUGAGAGCGUCUAUGGAAGGCCUGUCAUCGUGGCCUCUUGCGUUCAGCUCUCCCCAUCUUGGUUCUGGUAACAGCCUUCCCCUCCUGCCCUUAUCAGCCCGGAGCACAGCCUGCCCUCGGCACCACGGGCGUGGGGCUUAUCGGUGGCACCUGGCGACCCCACCAAUGCCUGGGUAGCAGACACAUACAUGCUGGCCCUCGAUAAAUGUUUGUCAGACGAACGGGCCGGGCACUGAAUCACGGAGUGGUUGCAGUCACACGCGAGCCUUGUGACUUGUGGCCACACCGCCGGUGGUUAGAAGACUGUGCGGUUGGCGCUGGGCACAGCUGAUGGCUCCUCUGGGGGGACCAGGCCAGGGAUCUGGGGCAAGUUGUUGAAGCUGGCCGGGCUCGAUUCCUUCUCUUUCGAGUGGGGAUCGUACUGUCGUCUUCACUGAGUUGAUUAAAUGAGAAACAAUUCACGCAGCGCGUGGCACGAAGAUAAAUGCUCUGUAAACAGUAGUCAUACCUGUGAUCUAACCCAGGCAUGGCUAAAAUCACACGGCCUUGUGCAAUAGGUAAUGAGGGAGGACAAUUAACACACAAACGUAAUUGGCAAGUAAAGUUGUAAACACGUCCCACCCAGCGAGUAAGCAAACAAACACAGAGUCAAACAACAGUGAGACACCGUGUCUUGCCUCUAAAGUGAGCAAAUCGCUGUAGUGAUACUUAAAGCUGGAAAGGACACAGUCAGGGACACUCAGCCAUUCAGUGUGGGGCUCAAAAAUACCAGAAUGCAAUAGUUUCAAAUUAAAAAAAAAAAAUGUUUAUUUUUGAGACAGAGACGCAGAGUGUGAGCAGGGGAGGGGCAGAGAGAGAGGGAGACACAGAAUCCGAAGCAGGCUCCAGGCUCCGAGCCGUCAGCACAGAGCCCGACGCGGGGCUCGAACCCACAAACAGUGAGAUCAUGACCUGAGCCUAAGUCGGAUGCUUAACCGACUGAGCCACCCAGGCGCCCCGACCUUGUAUUUUAUAAUCUGAAAGGGAAUUUCCUAAAAACCAAAAAGUUGAACAAAGAAAAACCUAACAAAACUGUAUGGUAUGAUCACUGGUUGGUAAAAGUAAGCAAAACUUUGUGUAUGGAGAAAAAUCUGGGAAAAACGAGAAUUGAGUGGAAAUUGGAUGUUAAAUAUCUUUCUUCCUCUUCUGAAUUUUCCAUGUUUACAGUUAAGAAUGAGUAUUACUCUGGUGCUAAAAGGAAGCAUAAUCUUUUAAGUUUUCUUAAUAGCACAGUUAGAUGUGCUCACAGGUGGUCAUUUUCAAGGUGAAGACACUAACAGCCCAGCAGUGGAUUGGGUGCCACCAGGGGCCGGCCCCCAGCUGGGUCCCAGGGCUCCUUGCUUUGAAUAUUUGGAUUUAAACAUUUAAAUGCUUUGAGUACAGCAGAUUGCCCUUAGUAAUGCAGGUGGGCCCCAUCUAAUCAGUUGAAGGCCUAGGUAGAACAAAGACUGACCUCCUCCAGGCAGGAAGGAAUUCUUCAGCCAAUGGCCUUAGGACUUGAACUGCACCAUAGGCUCUUCCCCGGCUCUACAACCUGCCAGCCCACCUGCAAAUUUUGGAUUUACCAGCCUCCAGGAUCAUACAGGCCAAUUUCUUAAAAAAUACCUUUCUUGCACACACUCUCUCUCUCUACACAGAUACACCCUAUUGGCUCUCUUUCUCUGAAGAACGCUGACUAAUAUGAAGCCCAAAUAGAAAAUGUUUUAGGCUUUGCGGGUCGUGCAGUCUCCGUCCCUCCCCAUUCCUCUGCCACAGACAAUAUGUAAACACAUCUCAAUCUGGGCACUGGUGACAUUUUGGGCUGGAUACUCCUUGUUGUGGGGCCAUCCUGUGCACUGUAGGGUGUUUAGCAGCCUCCCUGGCCUCUAGCUUCCAGAUACCCAUGGCAGCUGUCGGUCAUGACAAUCCAGGAUGUCCCCUGGGGGGGGGGGGGGGCAGAGAGGAGACAUACCCUCACCCUCACUGAGCACCGUUGAAGUACAUGAGUGAGCCUGACUGCGUUCUAGUGGCCUGGGGACUGGAGUCUGCCGACCCCGCUCUGGGCAGUGUGGUCUUGGAGCUUUGCAGCAGGGGCCCCGUGGUUGGGAGUGUGGGGACACGGUAGGAGCCCUGUGAGGUCACACGGAGCCCGGCCACAUCCCAGGUCUGCCGCCCGUUCCUGAAGGUGCCGUUGCUCUGAUGAGGGCAGGUCUCAGAGCAGCCCAGUGCUCUUCUGUGCGUCCCAGCGAGGUCGGAGGGCUGGGGAAGACGGGGUGUUGGGUGCGUGGCCACGAUCCCCUGGGCCACCCUCGGCACCGUCUCCUCCUCAACGACCCCAGGGUCUCCCCUCGGGCGAGAACCGUAAUAACGGUUUCCAGGUAGCAGGAGGUUUACCAGCCCGCUUCAGGUGGGAGCAGUGUCUGGGGCUCAUUGGCGACUUUCUCUGGCCCGGUGUGCGGACGGAUGGACAAGGCAGGCACCUGUAGACCCCCGGGCGGAGGGCGGGGUCACCGAGGCUACACAGGACGGGGUCAUGAGCCGUGACCUGGCCUUGUGCUCCGCACGCUGGGCAUGGAUCACUCCCUCAAAGCUUGGCCCAGAAUGAGCCCCAUGGUCAUUUGUGUCCCAGCCGAGGACUUCCUGGUCACGCUCGGGGUUGACCUAGCCCCACUCCAGCUAUGUCUGACAGCAUACAGCCGCCCCUAGGGAAGCCCAGCCCUCCAGGAGCCCUUGGCAGGGCCUCAAAUGCAGGGGGUAAGCAGCGAAUGUGGUCGGGCGGCUGCCUGCAGCACCUGGGACAGCUCUGGAGCAGAGCACCUGUGGGCAGGCCCCGCGCCCGCGACCCUGUGCCACAGUCACUGGAGACUUCACGGGCCCACCGAGGCCCAGGCCCACGAGGGAGGAGAGGGCCUGGGUGGUCUGGCUUGGCCAGCGUUUGAGAACCCUGGGUUAAAGCCUCACCUCUGACCCUCCAGGCCCUACUGGCUCCGUAUUGCCACGUUAGCAAGACCCCGAGAUCUCUUUACGUGACCUGCACUUGGGGAAGUGCUAGCCUGGAUCGUAAACUCGCAGCGUGGAUGUGGGUGGGCCCCGAGAACAAGGCUCGGGCCCCGAGAAGCCUUAGCUGAGCAGCGCCGGCCACCAGGACCAGCUUGGGGCAGGGUCACCCUUCUGAACCGACAGGGAGAUGACAGAGUCCAGUCAGACAGAAUGAGCUCCCUGGCGGGGAGAGGCAGGAGGGGCCCAUUCCCUGGGUCCGGGGCCGCAAAGACAUCUUGGGAAACGUCAAAGGCCGGGACCGUUGUGGCAGACGUCAGGCACGGAUUCCGUUUGCCAGGACCCUCCCGGGCAUCUGUGCGCUUGGCCUAGCCUUCCUGGCCCAGGCCAGCAGCUGCCCGAACCCUGCGUCCUCUGCCUUUGCUCUGCCUUAGACCUAAGCUCAACCUUCAGAUCCGAUGACCCAAACCAGCUUCUCAGUUUUGCGAGUCCUGGUGUCUGGCCGCACUCACCGGCGGUGGCCCCAGGAAGCGACCCCCGAAGACCCCACCCCUGCCCAACCGCAGCCUGGCAUUGGGAGUCUGGGGGUGGAGAGUGUCUAUGAAAGCCCCUCGGCC